GAUGAGGAACGUAGCGAAAUGCGAUAAGUAAUGUGAAUUGCAGAAUUCAGUGAAUCAUCGAAUCUUUGAACGCACAUUGCGCCCGCCAGUAUUCUGGCGGGCAUGCCUGUCCGAGCGUCAUUUCAACCAUCAAGCCCCCGGGCUUGUGUUGGGGACCUGCGGCUGCCCGCAGGCCCUGAAAACCAGUGGCGGGCUCGCUGUCACACCGAGCGUAGUAGCAAUCACCUCGCUCAGGGCGUGCUGCGGGUUCCGGCCGUUAAACAGCCUUACAAAACCCAAGGUUGACCUCGGAUCAGGUAGGAAGACCCGCUGAACUUAAGCAUAUCAAUAAGCGGAGGA
rnacentral:misc_RNA from 1 species